rnacentral:lncRNA from 1 species
UUUCAAUCACAGCAAUAACAAUAAAAACAAUCACAAUAAUAAUAAUCACAAUAAUAAUAAUAAUAAACACUGCAGUCAUUCUGCAGCACCAGUCCAGGCAAUGGGAGUAAGGGAGGGAUUCAUAUGUCCAGUUAGAGAGGCCAGAUGUGGCAGAUGUGCUAGCCCAGGGUGGGACACAGGAAAGCACAUAACUUUUCUCCAGUUCUUUACUUCUUCCUAAUGCAAGAAAUUGUCUAUGGCUAAUAAAGUGAUCUUAUCUUAAAAAAAAAAGGGUGGCUGGAAGGAUGCCGGUUCAAAUCCCGCGGCCGGCAGAGGAAUCCUACUCCGUUGGGCCCCUGAGCAAGGCCCUUCACCCCAGCUGCUCCGGGGGCGCUGUAUAAAUGGCUGACCCUGCGCUCUGACCCCAAGCUUCUCUCUCCCCAUCUGUGUGUCUGUGUCUCAUGGAGAGCAAGCUGGGGUAUGCGAAAAGACAAAUUCCUAAUGCAAGAAAUUGCAUAUGGCAAAUAAAGUGAUCUUAUCUUAUCUUCAAAGGCUGUAUUAGACAGGAUACACUCUGGUCCAAUGAGGUUCUGUGGCUUGAAUGUGGACAUGAACCGCCCCAUAAUGGAGACUCUGGGGAGAACCUUCCUAUGGGCACUGUCCGCAAAACAGCAUUGGCCCCCAGCACUGUUCAUGCCCACCGCUGGAGCUGUUACUGUCCAAAUUGUGCUCAACCACAACUGGACAGUAUGGUAUGCUUGUUUAUAGAAAUUACCUUUGCCAGUGCAGCAUAUACAAUUCCUGUUAGGAAAAGCGUAGUUUUAGGUCCUUAGUGGAAAUAAACUAGCAAUAUCAUAGACAGGAGAGCAUAACCUUAGGCGCGUCCUGCUCAUUUGGUUUCCCGCCGACGACCGACGAACAGGAUCCCAUGGAAUCAGCUCCGGUAAAUAAGGCAGAGCAGGCCAGGCGACCACGACCCAUCCAUCGGUUUUCCAACUUCUUUAUCCAAUACAGGGCCGCAGGGGCACCGGAGCCCAUCCCGACAAGCAAGAGGCACCAGGCAGGGUCGCAGAGGGGCAGUCCCGAGUCCGAUUCAAGCUCUACUGUCCUCUGGGACAAAUUGGUUUUGCAGCAACAAUGCGACCAACCCGGACAAACGCCGCCAGCAAGGAAGACGAUACGGCAGUGUCACAGGAGGGAAGAGAGCACGUUUCCCAGGCUUGAGAAUGGGACUAACCUAACCUGGACAGUGGUGUUGGCCGGAGCUACUGUGGUUCCUCCGAAUGUCAGGGGUGAUUGAGAGAGAGUGUUGGUGAGUGAGAAAAAAUGGCACUCACAAUGCUGAUAAAAAUAAUUUCUUCAACACUGGGGAUUUUACUCGAGGAUUUUAGAGAGAGGAUUAAGAAGGGAAACAGGAUGACAGUUCGUUCUAAAGGGAUGAGGGAUCAAGUUCAAGAUCAAGGGAUCAUUUUAAUCCCUUUCCAGGCCUAUCUGAUUCCUUCUCUGUAGGCUUAAGGAGGAUUUUAUAAGAGCUUCAUUGAGCUUCAUUGAUGAGUAGUAUGAAACAGAAUGUGAAAGAGGUGCUGUCUCAUAUCAGAACCAAAUUGCUCCAGUCUGGAGCAGAGUAUACAGGAUUCAAGAAGGGAAUAGAGAAUACAAUGCCCAGGACUACAGUCAUGAACCUGCCACUUGUUGAAGAGGUGUCUAGUGCUGGUUUGAAAGAAUGAUGGGGCGUGUAUGUCUGCUCCCUCCUGUCUCCAGAAUUCUGGAUUCACAGUUCUGGUCUUUGUUGCCUGUCUGUGUGACGUUUGCGUGAUCCCCAUGUUUUUCCUGCACAACUGUUGUCCUGUCCAGGGGUAGAGUAGGAAAGUGCUAUAAAUCUUACCUAGUG